rnacentral:rRNA from 1 species
CCUACGGGUGGCAGCAGUGAGGAAUAUUGGUCAAUGGACGCAAGUCUGAACCAACCAUGCCGCGUGCAGGAAGACGGCUCUAUGAGUUGUAAACUGCUUUUGUACGAGGGUAAACGCAGAUACGCGUAUCUGUCUGAAAGUAUCGUACGAAUAAGGAUCGGCUAACUCCGUGCCAGCAGCCGCGGUAAUACGGAGGAUUCAAGCGUUAUCCAGAUUUAUUGGGUUUAACGGGUGCGUAGGCGGUCGGAUAAGUUAGAGGUGAAAUCCCGAGGCUCAACUUCGGAAUUGCCUCUGAUACUGUUCGGCGAGAGAGUAGUUGCGGUAGGCGGAAUGUAUGGUGUAGCGGUGAAAUGCUUAGAGAUCAGACAGAACACCGAUUGCGAAGGCAGCUUACCAAGCUACUUCUGACGUUGAGGCACGAAAGCGUGGGGAGCAAACAGGAUUAGAUACCCCGGUAGUC